rnacentral:rRNA from 1 species
AGCGAACGCUGGCGGCGUGCCUAACACAUGCAAGUCGAACGGUUCUGUUGGGGGCUUGCUCUCGACAGAGUAGUGGCAAACGGGUGAGUAACACGUGGGUAAUCUUCCUUCGAGUGAGGAAUAACUUCGGGAAACCGGAGCUAAUACCGCAUAACAUCUUGGAACGGCAGUUUCAAGAUCAAAGGGGGCGCAAGCUCCCGCUUGAAGUUGAGCUCGCGUCCUAUCAGCUAGUUGGUGAGGUAAUGGCUCACCAAGGCUCCGACGGGUAGCCGGCCUGAGAGGGUGGCCGGCCACACUGGGACUGAGACACGGCCCAGACUCCUACGGGAGGCAGCAGGUGGGGAAUAUUGCGCAAUGGACGAAAGUCUGACGCAGCGACGCCGCGUGGGUGAUGAAGGCCUUCGGGUCGUAAAGCCCUGUUGAGGGAGAGAAAGCUACUGUCGGUUAAUACCCGGCAGUGGUGAUAGUAUCCCUAGAGAAAGCACCGGCUAACUACGUG